CUGGCUCAGGACGAACGCUGGCGGCGUGCCUAAUACAUGCAAGUCGAGCGGACUUUCCCUUCGGGGAAGGUUAGCGGCGGACGGGUGAGUAACACGUAGGCAACCUGCCUGCAAGACCGGGAUAACAUUCGGAAACGAAUGCUAAUACCGGAUACGCAGUUUCCUCGCAUGGG
rnacentral:rRNA from 1 species